AGAGUUUGAUCCUGGCUCAGAUUGAACGCUGGCGGCAGGCCUAACACAUGCAAGUCGAGCGGGGUUUUCGGACCUAGCGGCGGACGGGUGAGUAAUGCGUAGGAAGCUACCCGAUAGAGGGGGAUACCAGUUGGAAACGACUGUUAAUACCGCAUAAUGUCUACGGACCAAAGUGUGGGACCUUCGGGCCACAUGCUAUCGGAUGCGCCUACGUGGGAUUAGCUAGCUGGUGAGAUAAUGGCUCACCAAGGCGACGAUCUCUAGCUGGUUUGAGAGGAUGAUCAGCCACACUGGAACUGAGACACGGUCCAGACUCCUACGGGAGGCAGCAGUGGGGAAUAUUGGACAAUGGGCGCAAGCCUGAUCCAGCCAUGCCGCGUGUGUGAAGAAGGCCUUCGGGUUGUAAAGCACUUUCAGCGAGGAGGAAGGGGUAGGUGUUAAUAGCAUCUACUUUUGACGUUACUCGCAGAAGAAGCACCGGCUAACUCUGUGCCAGCAGCCGCGGUAAUACAGAGGGUGCAAGCGUUAAUCGGAAUUACUGGGCGUAAAGCGCACGCAGGCGGUUGGUUAAGUCAG
rnacentral:rRNA from 1 species